rnacentral:rRNA from 1 species
CACGUAGGCACCAAGCGUUGUCCGGAUUUAUUGGGCGUAAAGAGCUCGUAGGCGGUUCAGUAAGUCGGGUGUGAAAACUCUGGGCUUAACCCAGAGACGCCACCCGAUACUGCUGUGACUUGAGUACGGUAGGGGAGCAGGGAAUUCCUGGUGUAGCGGUGAAAUGCGCAGAUAUCAGGAGGAACACCGGUGGCGAAGGCAAUCCCCUGGGCCUGCACUGACGCUCAUGCACGAAAGCGUGGGGAGCAAACAGG